UACGGGGGGAGCAAGCGUUGUUCGGAAUUACUGGGCGUAAAGGGCGCGUAGGCGGCCUUCUAAGUCAGACGUGAAAUCCCUCGGCUCAACCGGGGAACUGCGUCUGAGACUGGAAGGCUUGAAUCCGGGAGAGGGAUGUGGAAUUCCAGGUGUAGCGGUGAAAUGCGUAGAUAUCUGGAGGAACACCGGUGGCGAAGGCGGCAUCCUGGACCGGUAUUGACGCUGAGGCGCGAAAGCCAGGGGAGCAAACGGG
rnacentral:rRNA from 1 species